ACAAUGGAGAGUUUGAUCCUGGCUCAGGAUGAACGCUAGCUACAGGCUUAACACAUGCAAGUCGAGGGGAAACGAUAUUGGAAGCUUGCUUCCGAUAGGCGUCGACCGGCGCACGGGUGAGUAACGCGUAUCCAACCUGCCCACCACUUGGGGAUAACCUUGCGAAAGUAAGACUAAUACCCAAUGACGUCUCUAGAAGACAUCUGAAAGAGAUUAAAGAUUUAUCGGUGAUGGAUGGGGAUGCGUCUGAUUAGCUUGUUGGCGGGGUAACGGCCCACCAAGGCGACGAUCAGUAGGGGUUCUGAGAGGAAGGUCCCCCACAUUGGAACUGAGACACGGUCCAAACUCCUACGGGAGGCAGCAGUGAGGAAUAUUGGUCAAUGGGCGAGAGCCUGAACCAGCCAAGUAGCGUGCAGGAUGACGGCCCUAUGGGUUGUAAACUGCUUUUAUAAGGGAAUAAAGUGAGUCUCGUGAGACUUUUUGCAUGUACCUUAUGAAUAAGGACCGGCUAAUUCCGUG
rnacentral:rRNA from 1 species